ACCUGUGUUCCUGAAUGUACUUAUCUCCUCAAAGUGGAGACCUGUCCCAAGGACUGGCCCAGUGAGGGCAGAUUACAUUUAAAGACUAUCAGAUGAGAUGCAGAGACAACACCCCCUUGUUCUUGACAGCCUGAACUUGAACAUAUAAAGUGGGCAGACAGUCGGGAUUGUUGGAAGAACAGGUUCCAGUGAGGACAAACUCUGCUUUUAUUUCUUUCAGGUUGUUUUCUUUGGAUUUCCACUGGAUGUCCUAGUGAAGCCACACCAGAGAGUGAUGUGUAUGUGUAUCAGAUUGGCUGUUAUUUCCCUCAAAUCUCUUUACUGUAAAUUAGGAUUUCAGGUUGAAUGGGUGUGUAGAGAUGGAAGCAAACACAUCAGUUUUUGAAUUAAUUAAAUGACAAUCAUUCUAGUACAACAGGGCCCCAGAGAUAAGUUGUGUGCUAAGAGCCCCUGCAAGGAUGGGCAGGUUAAAUGUUGGGGCAGCCCAUCCCUCCACCCCAACCCUGGUGAGGACGCUUUCUGUCUACACCAUCAUCCUUAUGGAGACAUUUGCCUCGCAUUAAAAAUCCCACUAAUUAAAUGCUUGGAUAUGAUGGAAGCACAAACUGAUGUUUGAUUUGUUGUUCUUGCUUUUAUGGUUCCCGGGGAAGUCAUUGUUAGGAAUGGCCUUGUUUCGUCUGGUGGAGCCAGCCUGUGGCACAGUCUUCAUUGAUGAGAUAAUGAAACUCCCAGAAAAAUGACAGGCAGAAGUCGCAGAAAAUGGAGAAAAUUUCUCAGUAGGGGAAUGUCGGCUGCUUUGUGUGGCCUGAGCUCUUCUUCGUAAUUCAAAGAUCAUUCUCCUUGAUGAAGAAGCCACCACCUCUAUGGACUCCAAGACUGACACCCUGGUUCAGAACACCAUCAAAGAUGCCUUCAAAGCCUGCAGGGUGCUGACCAUCACCCACUGCCUCAACUCGGUUCUCAACUGCGAUCACAUCCUGGAAAAUGGGAAGGUGAUUGAGUUUGACAAGCCUAAAAUCCUUACAGAGAAGCCAGAUUUUGCAUUUGCAACGUUACUAGCAGCAGAGGAUAUGGCAGGGGUCCUGGCGGCAGAUUCUAGAGGAGGAAGAGGCUCUGUGAGAUGAAUAGGAGGGGUCUUCAGGAGGAGGGGCUGUUCCCUCUGAAGCCCUGGUCUCCAGCCCCUCCCACCCAUGGAGUGAGGUGGGGCCAAAGUUGUCCCCACUGCCCUACUCAGCCCGUGCCACCUCACCUGACUUGGUGGGCUCGGGGUUGGUUCUGGGUGGUGAACCGAGGCAGGCAAAGCUAAUGUAUUAACAAACUGCCCUUAACCUCCCUGAACCCCAAAGGUCCCUCAUAUGUUUUCACCAAAACCACCCGAGUGCCUGAGAAUGAAAAUACUGUAACUUUCAAUUAGAAGCCAGUCACAAUAAACAGAAUGGGAAAAUGCCUUAAGAUGGAGUUUGUAAGGUUUUUUUUGCCUAUUAUCAGAAGGAAAAAGAACAGAAUUUUCUUCCCGUUUAACCCCACUCACUUCCACCUUGACUGGGUGACAAGCAGUUAACUACACGGAUCUGUAGUGUGAAAGACUGAUUACAAUGUUUGGCCAAAAAAAAAAAAUUUAAUCAUAUUAUAUGUUUCAAUUGAUCUAUUAGAAUAACCAGGAAAACAAAAUGCUGGAGUUUCUCUAUAAAUGACAUUUUUAUAUCUUCUUUAUUGGUCAUUGAAACGCAGUAGGAAAUUACCCUGAAGUGUCGCCUUGCAAUGAUUUCACUGAAGAUAUUCUGAUUUCGGUACUAUUUCCUCUCCUAGGCCCUCGUUGCCUUCUCCCUUGACUCAGUAAUGAACCCUCACAGUUGCUUACCAAAUAAAAGGCUUUUC
ensembl:lincRNA